AUAGCCAUAUCAUAUUGAAUACACUGGUUCUUGUCCGAAGUUAAGCAAUGUUGAGCCUGGUCAGUACUUAGAUAGGUGACCACUUGGGAAUACCAAAGGCUGUA